GGGUGUGUCGGUGUGCCGAUACAGGCUUUUGGAUGGUCGGGCCGCCAUCC
rfam:Lentisphaerae bacterium GWF2_49_21 gwf2_scaffold_1075, whole genome shotgun sequence.